rnacentral:rRNA from 1 species
GCGUGAGAAUCUGCCUUCAGGUCUGGGACAACAGUUGGAAACGUCUGCUAAUACCGGAUAUGCCUACGGGUGAAAGAUUAUUUGCCUGAAGAUGAGCUCGCGUCUGAUUAGCUAGUUGGUAAGGUAAAAGCUCACCAAGGCGACGAUCAGUAGCUGGUCUGAGAGGAUGACCAGCCACACUGGGACUGAGACACGGCCCAGACUCCUACGGGAGGCAGCAGUGGGGAAUUUUCCGCAAUGGGCGAAAGCCUGACGGAGCAAGACCGCGUGGGGGAGGAAGGCUUUUGGGUUGUAAACCUCUUUUCUUAGGGAAGAAGUACUGACGGUACCUGAGGAAUCAGCCUCGGCUAACUCCGUGCCAGCAGCCGCGGUAAUACGGAGGAUGCAAGCGUUAUCCGGAAUUAUUGGGCGUAAAGCGUCCGCAGGUGGCCUUGUAAGUCUGCUGUCAAAGCCCAGGGCUUAACUCCGGUUAGGCAGUGGAAACUACAAAGCUAGAGUAUGGUAGGGGCCAAGGGAAUUCCCGGUGUAGCGGUGAAAUGCGUAGAGAUCGGGAAGAACAUCGGUGGCGAAAGCGCUCGGCUGGACCAGAACUGACACUCAGGGACGAAAGCUAGGGGAGCGAAU